AAACAAAAAAUCACAAUAUAAUCAAGUAAUAGGAGCUUUAUUUUCAAUUGACAGUGUCCAUACAUUUCUACUGCUAAAGUUCACAACAGCCUUUCCUAACCCAGAUAUAUGUCUAAAUCAAAUUAGACUUUCUCGACAUGUUGGUUAGGGAAUUCUGCAUCUUGAACUCUACACAUCUGAAAGGUGCCCAGGUUAGAAAUCCUGUUCCAAAAAUAUGUCAACUCAUGUUAAUAUAGUAACUCUGUAGUCACAAUGAUGAAACAUUGAAAAAACAUGCUACAAUACCAUGUCAUUCUUGUAGCCUGUCAUUUUUAAAUACACUUUCAAGUCAGUCUUGUCAGGUGUUUGUUUUAUGAAACACGUUGUGUAGAGGAAGCCACUAUUAAAAUAAAUAUCUAAGUCCAUUGUUCAAAAAUAUCCAAUGUUUUGCCCAGCAUUUUUUCCAAGUUGAGUUUGAAUGUACUUUGCCUUUAUACUCCACUGCAUUCCUGUGAGAAAUCUGUUAGUUCUCCACU